rnacentral:lncRNA from 1 species
GAAUAGAGAAAAAUAGUGUAAACAAAAUAAAGAAUAGAGAAAAAUAGUGAGAACAAAAUAAAGAAUAGAGAAAAAAAGUGUGAACAAAAUAAAGAAUAGAGAAAAAUAGUGCAAACAAAAUAAAGAAUAGAGAAAAAUAGUGCAAACAAAAUAAAGAAUAGAGAAAAAUAGUGUAAACAAAAUAAAGAAUAGAGAAAAAUAGUGCAAAC